rnacentral:rRNA from 1 species
GUCCACGCCGUAAACGAUGGGCACUAGGUGUGGGAGGUGUCGACUCCUUCCGUGCCGAAGCUAACGCAUUAAGUGCCCCGCCUGGGGAGUACGGCCGCAAGGCUAAAACUCAAAGGAAUUGACGGGGGCCCGCACAAGCAGCGGAGCAUGUGGUUUAAUUCGACGAAACGCGAAGAACCUUACCUGGGCUUGACAUGUCUCUGACCGGUGUGGAAACACAUCUUCCCUUUUAGGGCAGAGUCACAGGUGGUGCAUGGCUGUCGU